rnacentral:rRNA from 1 species
UACGUAGGCAGCGAGCGUUGUUCGGAGUUACUGGGCGUAAAGGGUGUGUAGGCGGUUGUUUAAGUUUGGUGUGAAAUCUCCCGGCUCAACUGGGAGGGUGCGCCGAAUACUGAAUGACUAGAGUGCGGGAGAGGAAAGUGGAAUUCCUGGUGUAGCAGUGAAAUGCGUAGAGAUCAUGAGGAAGACCAGUGGCGAAGGCGGGUCUCUGGACAGUUCCUGACGCUGAGGCACGAAGGCCAGGGGAGCAAACGGG